AUUACUGCUGCCUCAACAACACCAAAAACAACAACUGAUACUACUGGCACUGCGACAGCAAAUCUGCUGCUGCGUUGGCUGCUGCUACACCUGGAAUAAACCUUUACCUUUUCCUUUGCAAGUGUUGGAUAUCCAUACUUCAGAAGGAUCUACCAGAGUGCCUUGUAAAUCAAGUCUGUGAAUGCUACAGAGAGAGGUAUAAGGGUUGGAGCAUGAUGAUAAGCAACAUCUGUGAGCAUUCUGCAAGUCUGAAAAGUGGAAACGUACGGUGGAUUAUCGCACUUCCUCUGCCUGAACCUGGCGCCUGUCCCACAUGUCCGGCUGCACAUGCUCCACUGGCUCC